rnacentral:tRNA from 1 species
AUUUAUAAAGGAUUUCCUUUUUUUA